rnacentral:tRNA from 1 species
ACUUUUAUAGUUUAAAAAAACAUUAUAGUUUCAGUAUAAAAUUAGUGAAAUGUCACUUUAAAGUU